rnacentral:tRNA from 1 species
AGCCCUGAGGUGUCAACACGUAUGAUUGCAAAUCAUAAGUUGUAGAUUCACCGUCUACCGGGGCUU